GAUGAACGCUAGCGGCAGGCCUAAUACAUGCAAGUCGAACGAUAUUUUCCAGCUUGCUGGGAGAGAAAGUGGCGCACGGGUGCGUAACGCGUAUGCAACCUACCUUUAUCAGGGGGAUAGCCCGGAGAAAUCCGGAUUAAUACCGCAUAAAAUCACAAGAUGGCAUUAUCCAAUGAUCAAACAUUUAUGGGAUAAAGAUGGGCAUGCGUGUCAUUAGCUGGUUGGCGGGGUAACGGCCCACCAAGGCGACGAUGACUAGGGGAUCUGAGAGGAUGACCCCCCACACUGGUACUGAGACACGGACCAGACUCCUACGGGAGGCAGCAGUAAGGAAUAUUGGUCAAUGGGCGCAAGCCUGAACCAGCCAUGCCGCGUGCAGGAUGACUGCCCUAUGGGUUGUAAACUGCUUUUACCCGGGAAUAAACCUACUUACGAGUAAGUAGCUGAAUGUACCGGGGGAAUAAGGAUCGGCUAACUCCGUGCCAGCAGCCGCCGUAA
rnacentral:rRNA from 1 species